UAUUAAUAUAUAAUGCUAAUAUUGUACUAUGCUAAUAAUAUAAUAUAUUGUAUGUACAUACAACUUGUAAGCCACUCUGAGUCCCCUUUGGGGUGAGAGAGGGUGGGGUAUAAAUGUAGCAAAUAUAUAAAUAAAUAAUUGUUGGGGGGGGCGUUUACACUACAAAUAAGAUAUGUGCAGUGUGCAUAGGAAUUUGUUCGUUUUUUUUCAAAUGAUAAUUCAGCCCCUCAACAAUCUGAGGGACCAUGAACCGGCACUCCACUUAAAAAGUUUGAGGACCCCUGUUUUAUAGUGUGAAUAGCCCUAUGGAAAGUGUGAGGCAUUUGUGUCUGAAAUCACAGACUUAAUGAUGAUGCUAUCCUCCAAGAGGUCUGAAGGAUGUCUAGAAGGAUGCUUUUGUCAUUCUGUGUUUGGAUGUAGGAAAAUAGUCUGUUCCUCAGGAGGAAAGUGAAUCCUGUAGGGGCUCUGAUCACUAUGUGUGGGAAGUAAUGAAUUCUUCUCUCUGUGGCCCAGAUGGAUUUUCAGCCAAGUACUAUAAGGAAUAUAAAGAAGAAUUGGCUCCAACUCCGUUAUCAGUAACAAAUAAAGCAUUGCAAAAAGGUGAGAUUCCGAACUCUUGGGUGGAGGCAAAUAUAGUUCUUAUUCCAAAAUAGUAUAGAGAUUUGGAACAGGUGAAGAAUUAUAGAUGAUCUCGCUAUUAAAUUGCAAUUAUAAAUUAUGUGCUGAAAUUCUUGCAAGUAGAUUAAAAAGAAUUCUGGUUAAAAUUAUAAAUGAAGAUCAAGUACGCUUCUUUCCAGGUAGACAGUUAAAUUAGAAUGUAAUAUCAAUACUAAAUAUAAUAGAGUUAGCUGAACAAGACCCCAACAGAGAGCUCACAUUGUUAUUUUUUGAUGCUGAUAAUGCAUUUGACAAUGUUGGUUGGGAUUUUAAGGAUAAAGUACUGAUUCAAUAUGGGGUAGGCCAAUAAUUUUGAAAUGAGGUUGGUUCAAUUUAUUCUAGCCAAAAAGCAAAACUAAGGAUAAAUGGUCAACUGUAUUUCUAACAUCCAUAUAAAUAAGACAGGAAACAAGACAAGCUAGCCCACUGUUUCCUGUCUUAUUUAUAUGGAUGUUAGAGAUACUAAAUAUUAUGAUUAGGGAGGACAGACAUACUAAAGGAGUGAAAAUAAACGGGCAAGAAUUCAAAGUCAAGUCAUAUGCGGAUGACAUGGUGGUAAUUACAGAUAACUAAUAAAACAAUAAUCUAUUUUAAGACAACUAUGGGAAGGCAUGGAAGGAACUCAAAAAAGAUCUGGAAAACUGGCAAAGGAUCAAAUUAUCCUUCUUGGGGAGAAUAGCAGUGCUAAAAGUGAUGAUUUUACGAAAAAUGCUGUUAUUAUUCCAAAUUUUACAAAUAAUUAAGAGAGUGAAGGUCUUUGAUUAAUGGAGAAAAGAUACGGUCAAAUUCUAGUCUUUUAUUUGGAACUAUCUUGGAGACCCAGUGGUGCCCGGGUUAUUUGAAAAAGUCAUUAUUUGUAUUUCAAUGUUAGGUAUUUUCAGUUUAGAGUGGGUGAACUACAAUUCCCAGAAUCGUGGUUCAAUCCUUCCCAAACCCUGCCAGUAUUCAAAGUUGGCCAUUUUGGGUCUGUGUAGCAAGCAUGGUCCAGAUCUAUCGUUGGCUGGUCAUCACCUGGCUGCAGUGCUGCCUGGAUGGGGUGAACUACUACAACUCCCAGAUUCCUGGGGCAAUUGUCCCAAAACAUCUGUCAGUAUCCACAGCAGGCAAUGUUCAGUCUGUGUGCCCAGUUUGGUCCAGAUCCAUCAUUGGCUGGGUUCAGUGGUCUUUGGAUACUGGUGAACUACAACUCCCAAAAGCAAGACCCAUUCCCACAAACCCCUCCAGUAUGUUCAGUUGGUCAUGAGGCUUCUCUGUGCAAAUUUUGGUCCCGGUCCAUUGUUGGUGGGGGUCAGUGUUUCUCUGGGUGCAGGUGAACUAUAACUCCCUUUCGCCCAAACUUUUCCAAUAUGUUGUAUUGGUUAUGGGGGCAAGUUUGAUCCUGGUCCAUCAUCGGUGGGGUUCGAUUGCAGGUGAACUAUAAAUCCCAGUACCUACUACUCCCAAAUGUCCAGGCCAAUUCCCCUCCAAACCCACCAGUAUUCAAAUCUGGGCAUAUCAGGGAUGCAUGGCAAGUUUAGUCCAGACCCAUCAUUGUUUGGGAUCAUAGCGUUCUGGGUGUAGGUGAACUACAACUCUUAUAAAUUCCCAGUGGGAGUCACAAUGCUCUGACUUGAUGCAGGGUAAACUACAACUUCAAUCCCCCAAGCUCCGCCAGUAAGUUUAGUUGUUGUUGAGUUCUGCUCUGUUUGUUAUGCAGACAGAUUUGAAAGGGAAGGGCAGUAGGCGGGAUCAUGCAAAUUCUCCAGUAAUGGAAAAUCCUGGGAUGCCUGCCUGUGAUGGAAAAAACAAAAUUUAGGAUGAAAUGGUCCUCAAAUGAAAGCAUUCCUUGGGUGGUGGGCCAUAGUGUUUGGGGAGGACAUUGGCAAGGGUUGUGCUACAUGUUCAUGGAGCUCACUGUAACCGCAAUGUCAGUGGAUGGGAGUGACUUGCUGGCUUCUCAGCCCUGGGAAUUAUAGCCUGUUUGUGGAGGCCAGAGGCUGUCUGUGUGAGCGGACACCUGUGCGACAUACACACAUACGGGUUUUCACUUUUAUUAUGGAUAUAGAUAGGGAAAAAAGGCUAGAACUGUGUAUAGAAAUCUAAUAGAUUCCAAAGAUAGAGGAGUAGCAUUUCCAGAUCUUAGAUAUUAUUAUGAAGCCGUAGACUUUAGUUGGUUAAUGGACUGAAUAAAGUUAGGAAAUUGUGCUUUACUCAACCUAGAGGGACAUAAUCUAAGAUUUGGCUGACAUGCCUAUUUAUGGUAUGGGAAAGAUAAGUCUAAAAAAGACACCCAAUAAGAGCUGGCCUUCAAGCAUUAUGGUAAAGAUAUAAGUAAGGGAUGGAGCCAAAGACUCUUUGUGGCUGUGUCCUCUGGAAACAAUACCAACAUAUAGUGAGGAAUGGAGAACAUAUAGGGAAUAUCUAAUGGAAGAAAAGGGACAAUGGAAAUUAAAAGGGAUAGAAGAGCAAAAGAUAAAUGACUGGUUUAGAUAUCAACAACUACAUGAAAUAUUUUAAAAUUGGGUUAUUCAAAAGGAAAUCGGACUUGGAGAAUAUUUUGGAGAAAGAAAAUGAAGGAUUGAUCUCCAGAUUAUACAAAUAUAUUCUAGUGUAUGACCUAGAAGAUAAUCGAAUAAAAACAGGAAUGAUCUUCUGGGCUAGAAACCUAGGGAAAAAUAUAGAUUUGGAUAAUUGGGAAUACCUAUGGAAUAAAGGAUUUAAAUUUUCAGUAGUGGGGUCCAUUAAAGAAAACAUGCAUGAAAUGUUCUAUAGAAGUUACAUAAUGUCUGAAGAAGAGAAGCCACCAAGAAUUUCCUAUGUUCCCACAAGAUACACCUGUGAGAGUGAUGGGAUAGAGAAAAUGAUCUCUCUAGAUUUCAAAACACAUAUGAUAGAAUAUCCUCCUUCAGAUAAGUUGGAUCUGAGCUUUGCAAGGUCAUAACCAGCACAUUGAAUACUGGUCCAAAUCAGACCACCAGUCAGUGGAACUGAUGCAACAAGGGAUUUGUGUGCUCCAUGUAUUGAACCCCAGUCGACAGCCUAAGAAUAAAUAAUAACAAUAGAUGAAUGUGUGUACAACUCAAAAUGUAUAUCUUUGAUAAAUGCAUACAGACAUGGCUUAAUGGGGAAAAUAUAUAUGAAAAUCUAUUUUUAAAGUGAGGAAUGAACAAAAAGUAUAUACCUGUGGACAAAGCACGUGCCAAAAUAUAAAUUUCCACAGGAGGGGAAAAAAGAUAAAGUCUUAGAUUCCAACAAGAAACAAAAACAAGAAGAACAUCUGGGAUGCAGAGGAAGCAGAUCAAAAUCAAAAUGGAGAAAAAGGAGGAGGGUGACGACACGAAAGAGGAGCAACGUUGCUCAGGCUGCAGGAAUGACACAUAAGUCAAGGCAAGACACAUUAUUGCAAAUCAGUUUUGGAAACUUUUGCCUCAGGAAGACAAGACAGUGAAAUAUCAUAAACAAACAAACAGAGAUCAUCCACCACUGUGCGGCCAUUCAGGAUUUAUAAAACAGCAUUUUUUUUGCUCUUUUUGGUACUUCACUGUCAGAUAUGAAUAGCUAUUUUUGCUUAUCUUUUAUGAGUGUUUCUCAAAUUAUUGACUGGUAUGACUAAGGUUUUUGUGGCCUUUAGUAAAGGUUGAAGUCUUUUGGGGGUUUUGGGAAGGUUUUAUUUGUUUUUUAAAAACAUUAAUUACAGAUUAUAACAAUACAAUAAAAGAUAUGGAGAAAAGGGUGAUAAAAUAAAUAAAGAAGAUACUGAAGAAAAAACACAACCUCUGAUCUUCCUCUCAGCAGUUACAUAUACCUAGUAGACUAGUGCAUUUGGGCUAAACCCUGACCUGUUUCGUGUCCCAGCUUUCAGUGGGGGCCCAGUCCAUUUUUAGGAGCCUUCCAAAAUUGGGAGAGCAGAUAUCUGUUUUUGCUCUCCAUUGCUGAAAGAUCCAUUUUCUAUCAGCCCAUUAUGCCCAGACUCCCUUUCCCAGCAUGUGCUUAAAGGAGGCUUCUUCUUAGCUGCUAUUUCUACUCUAGAGGAGGCACUUGGCUGUAGGCCCUGGCAGACGCAGGUGCUCUGGGCCUGCAUGCCACACACACACUCUCUUUCCAAGGUGAAUGUGUAUGUGGCAUGCAGGUCCAGAGCAGCCGCACCUGCCAGGGCCUGCAGCCAAGUGCCUCUUACUUUCUGAUGCCGAAAAACAGGACAGGAGCCAGGACCAGCUCCUGCUAGCUUUGGUGUUGAGCUGAUUUCCAUAGUGGGUGGGGCUUCCCUGUUUCAUGCUCCUGAAAAAACAAAAGGCAUGAAAGAAACUAAUUAAACGGGAUAAAUGAAUUCCACGCAUAACUCUAAUAUCUAGCAUUAUGCUUGUGCAACGUUUUCAGAAAUUACGUAAGUUGUAUUAAAAAAUUGUUAAAUCUGUACAGUAGAGUUCCAGUUAUCUGAGUUAAACAGGCAGGAUAACCGGAUCUGUUGGAUAAUAGGGAGGCCCGGCCUAGAGAAACCUGGGGCGCAUUGCUGUUUAGCAAUGUGCUCCGCAUUUCCCCAAAGUCUCAGUCAGGCCUUUACCGAAAGGAGAAAAAAAGGGAGGUUUUGGGAGAAGCAAACAGUUACUAAUGAGAAGGGGUUUUGAUGAAACUUCCCACAGAUUUUUGCUUUAAGAGGAACUGCUUCUGAGAGAGAAUUCAGAGGUGGUAACUUUGCUUAUCGAGUGGUUUGUUCUUGCUUCAUGGACUAUUGUUUCAUGUUACCUUUGGACUUUCAUGCCAAGUUCCUGUAAGCCUUGCAUUUUGAGCUUUGUUCCAGUUCUUGUUCCUGUCCCUGGGUAUUUUGGAUUAUCAUACCAUGUUCCUGAAAGCCUUGCAUUUUGAAUCACUUGUUCCAGUUCCAGAUUGUGUUCUUUGUUCCAGUUCAUGACCUUGUUCCUUGGACUAAUUUUGACUACGUUGAUUGAAGUUUAUUCUUGUCUUUGGUUUUAUAUGGAACCUUGCUUCAAGAUUUCUAAGUGCCUCGUUCCUUGUGGACUAUAACCUUGUUUUAGUAAUUUUGAACUUAGAUUUGCUAAUUCUUACAUAUUAUCUUCAAUAAACAGCUUUCAUUGCUUUUCUUCCCAAAGAAUUUUUUUUCAACCACAUAUUACAAAAUAUAAAAAGAACAAAUGUUUGUGACGGAGCAAAAUCUGAGAUUAUUUUUGGAUUUAAAACACUAAAUUCCUUUCAAAGGCUUUUAAGACUCAACUUUGUAGGCUUGUGGGAUUAUUUCUGACCUUUUCUCUAACAUUAAAACAUGCAUACCCACAUCUGUAACCAAUCCUUCCUAGUAAAGGUAAAGGUUUUUCCCUGACAUAUGUCUAGUCAUGUCCAACUCUGGUGCUCAUCUCUAUUUCUAAGCUGAAGAGCCAGCAUUGUCUGUAGACACCUCCUAGAUCAUGUGGCCAACAUGACUGCAUGGAGCACUGUUCCCACAGAAGCAGUACCUAUUGAUCUACUCAUAUUUGUAUGUUUUCAAACUGCUAGUUUGGCAGAAGCUGGGUCUAACAGCAGGAGCUCAGCCUG